rnacentral:rRNA from 1 species
CCGUCCUUAGAGUUUGAUCAUGGCUCAGGAUGAACGCUGGCGGUGUGCCUUACACAUGCAAGUCGAACGAACCUUCGGGUUAGUGGCGAACGGGUGAGUAAUGCAUAAGUAACAUGCCCCUUAGUCUGGGAUAACUUUUCGAAAGGAAAGCUAAUACCGGAUAUUCUCUUUAAAUCGCCUGAUUUUUAGAGGAAAGAAUUUCGCUAAGGGAUUGGCUUAUGUCUGAUUAGCUUGUUGGUGGGGUAAUGGCCUACCAAGGCUGCGAUCAGUAGCUGGUCUGAGAGGACGAACAGCCACACUGGGACUGAGACACGGCCCAGACUCCUACGGGAGGCAGCAGUGAGGAAUAUUGCGCAAUGGGGGAAACCCUGACGCAGCAACACCGCGUGAGCGAAGAAGUCUCUAGGGAUGUAAAGCUCUGUCAAGAGGGAAGAUAAUGACGGUACCUCUAAAGGAAGCUCCGGCUAACUACGUGCCAGCAGCCGCGGUAAUACGUAGGGAGCGAGCGUUAUCCGGAAUUACUGGGCUUAAAGUGCAUGUAGGCGGUAGAUUAAGUCAGGUGUAAAAUCCCUCAGCUCAACUGAGGUCUGCACUUGAUACUGAUUUACUAGAGGCUAAUAGAGGGAAGUGGAACUCAUGGUGUAGCGGUGAAAUGCGUAGAUAUCAUGAGGAACCCCAGUGACGAAGGUGACUUCCUGGAUUAUGCCUGACGCUGAGAUGCGAAAGCGUGGGGAGCGAACGGGAUUAGAUACCCCGGUAGUCCACGCCGUAAACGAUGUCUACUAGUCGUUGGGAAUCUUAGUAUUCUUGGUGACGAAGUUAACGCGAUAAGUAGACCGCCUGGGGAGUACGGCCGCA